UCCGGAAUGGUGUAAUGGUCAACAUCAGCCGCUCUCAUCAAGAGUUCCCGGCUAGCUCGGGGUUCGAUUCCCCGUUCCGGAA